GUGCUCGCGGUGCUGAGGAACAGCUGUACUUGCUCAAGUGUGAUGGCAAGUGUGUCAAGUAAAUAGA
ensembl:ncRNA T24D3.3 ncRNA